UACGUAGGCAGCGAGCGUUGUUCGGAGUUACUGGGCGUAAAGAGUGCGUAGGCGGUUUCCUAAGUUUGGUGUGAAAUCUCCCGGCUUAACUGGGAGGGUGCGCCGAAAACUGGAAGGCUUGAGUAUGGGAGAGGUAAGCGGAAUUCCUGGUGUAGCGGUGAAAUGCGUAGAUAUCUGGAGGAACACCGGUGGCGAAGGCGGCAUCCUGGACCGGUAUUGACGCUGAGGCGCGAAAGCCAGGGAAGCAAACGGG
rnacentral:rRNA from 1 species